rnacentral:tRNA from 1 species
GCCCCCAUAGCUCAAAUGGAUAGAGCGGCUCCGUCCUAAGGAGAAGGUUGCAUGUUCAAGUCAUGCUGGGGGCA